rnacentral:rRNA from 2 species
GGUGAAAAGCCCGCUCGCCGGAAGACCAAGGGUUCCUGUCCAACGUUAAUCGGGGCAGGGUGAGUCGACCCCUAAGGCGAGGCCGAAAGGCGUAGUCGAUGGGAAACAGGUUAAUAUUCCUGUACUUGGUGUUACUGCGAAGGGGGGACGGAGAAGGCUAUGUCAGCCGGGCGACGGUUGUCCCGGUUUAAGCAUGUAGGCGGAGGUUCCAGGUAAAUCCGGUACCUUUUAACGCUGAGGUGUGAUGACGAGGCACUACGGUGCUGAAGUGAUAAAUGCCCUGCUUCCAGGAAAAGCCUCUAAGCAUCAGGUAACACGAAAUCGUACCCCAAACCGACACAGGUGGUCAGGUAGAGAAUACCAAGGCGCUUGAGAGAACUCGGGUGAAGGAACUAGGCAAAAUGGUGCCGUAACUUCGGGAGAAGGCACGCUGAUGUGUAGGUGAAGCCCCUGCGGGCGGAGCUGAAAUCAGUCGAAGAUACCAGCUGGCUGCAACUGUUUAUUAAAAACACAGCACUGUGCAAACACGAAAGUGGACGUAUACGGUGUGACGCCUGCCCGGUGCCGGAAGGUUAAUUGAUGGGGUUAGCGGCAACGCGAAGCUCUUGAUCGAAGCCCCGGUAAACGGCGGCCGUAACUAUAACGGUCCUAAGGUAGCGAAAUUCCUUGUCGGGUAAGUUCCGACCUGCACGAAUGGCGUAAUGAUGGCCAGGCUGUCUCCACCCGAGACUCAGUGAAAUUGAACUCGCUGUGAAGAUGCAGUGUACCCGCGGCAAGACGGAAAGACCCCGUGAACCUUUACUAUAGCUUGACACUGAACACUGGUCCUUGAUGUGUAGGAUAGGUGGGAGGCUUUGAAGCGUGGACGCCAGUCUGCGUGGAGCCAACCUUGAAAUACCACCCUUUAAUGGCUGGUGUUCUAACGUAGACCCGUAAUCCGGGUUGCGGACAGUGUCUGGUGGGUAGUUUGACUGGGGCGGUCUCCUCCCAAAGAGUAACGGAGGAGCACGAAGGUUGGCUAAUCCUGGUCGGACAUCAGGAGGUUAGUGCAAUGGCAUAAGCCAGCUUGACUGCGAGCGUGACGGCGCGAGCAGGUGCGAAAGCAGGUCAUAGUGAUCCGGUGGUUCUGAAUGGAAGGGCCAUCGCUCAACGGAUAAAAGGUACUCCGGGGAUAACAGGCUGAUACCGCCCAAGAGUUCAUAUCGACGGCGGUGUUUGGCACCUCGAUGUCGGCUCAUCACAUCCUGGGGCUGAAGUAGGUCCCAAGGGUAUGGCUGUUCGCCAUUUAAAGUGGUACGCGAGCUGGGUUUAGAACGUCGUGAGACAGUUCGGUCCCUAUCUGCCGUGGGCGCUGGAGAAUUGAGGGGGGCUGCUCCUAGUACGAGAGGACCGGAGUGGACGCAUCACUGGUGUUCGGGUUGUCAUGCCAAUGGCACUGCCCGGUAGCUAAAUGCGGAAGAGAUAAGUGCUGAAAGCAUCUAAGCACGAAACUUGCCCCGAGAUGAGUUCUCCCUGAGACUUUAAGUCUCCUGAAGGAACGUUGAAGACGACGACGUUGAUAGGUCGGGUGUGUAAGCGCAGCGAUGCGUUGAGCUAACCGAUACUAAUGAACCGUGAGGCUUAACCUU